CGCCCGGCCCGCCCCGCGGCACCUGGGGCCGCCCCGCCGCCCCCUCCUCCUCCUCCUCCUCCUCCUUCUCCUCCUCCUGCACCUCCCCGCUCCCUCCUCCCUCCCUCUUCCUCCUCUUCCCCCUCCCGCAGACGCGGAUGCUCUCGGGCAGCGGUGGCCGCGGUGCGGGGCGGUGGGGGCAUGGCGGCCCCGGACAGCUGCGUGAAGGUGGCGGUGAGGAUCCGUCCCCAGCUGUCCAAAGAGAAAAUCGAGGGAUGUCACAUCUGCACCUCCGUGACACCCGGUGAGCCCCAAGUGCUGCUGGGGAAGGACAAAGCCUUCACCUAUGACUUUGUCUUUGACCUGGACACGUGGCAGGAGCAGAUCUACACAACGUGCGUGGGCAAGCUCAUUGAAGGCUGCUUCGAGGGCUACAAUGCCACCGUGCUGGCGUACGGACAGACUGGCGCGGGAAAGACAUACACCAUGGGCACUGGCUUCGACAUGAGCAUCUCUGAGGAUGAGCAGGGCAUCAUCCCGCGGGCCAUCGGCCACCUCUUCAGCGGCAUUGAGGAGCGCAAGCGGGCGGCACAGAGUCAGGGGGUGGCAGCGCCUGAGUUCAAAGUCAGCGCCCAAUUCCUGGAGCUCUACAAUGAAGAGAUCCUGGACCUGUUUGACAGCACCCGUGACCCAGAUGCACGUCACCGCAAAUCCAACAUCAAAAUUCAUGAGGAUGCCAGCGGGAGCAUCUACACCACAGGGGUCACAUCGCGGCUCAUCAGCUCCCAGGACGAGCUCAUCCAGUGCCUGAAGCAGGGAGCUCUUUCCCGCACCACUGCCAGCACCCAGAUGAAUGUGCAGAGCUCCCGGUCCCACGCCAUCUUCACCAUUCAUCUGUGCCAGAUGAGAGUGUGUGCCCGCCCGGAGCUGGUGAACGGGGAGGUGACCGGCCUGCCGGAUGGAGCCCAGCCCACCACUGAGUACGAGACCCUCACAGCCAAGUUUCACUUUGUGGACCUGGCUGGCUCAGAGAGGCUGAAGAGAACGGGUGCUACUGGCGAGAGAGCCAAGGAAGGCAUCUCCAUCAACUGUGGGCUGCUGGCGCUGGGGAAUGUCAUCAGUGCCCUCGGAGACCAGAGCAAGAAAGCUGUGCAUGUGCCCUACCGCGACUCCAAGCUCACCCGCCUGCUGCAGGAUUCCCUCGGUGGCAACAGCCAAACCAUCAUGAUCGCUUGUGUGAGCCCAUCUGACCGCGACUUCAUGGAGACCCUGAACACUCUCAAGUAUGCCAACCGGGCUCGCAACAUCAAGAACAAGGUGGUGGUGAACCAGGACAAGACAAGUCAGCAGAUCAGUGCCCUGCGGGCUGAGAUCGCCCGUCUGCAGAUGGAGCUGAUGGAGUACAAGGCAGGCAAGAGGGUCAUUGGGGAGGACGGUUCAGAGGGCUACAGCGAUUUGUUCCGUGAGAACGCCAUGCUGCAGAAGGAGAACAGCGCCCUGCGCAUGCGGGUGAAGGCCAUGCAGGAGGCCAUCGACUCCAUCAACAACAGGGUCACCCAACUGAUGAGCCAGGAGGCCAACCUGAUGCUGGCCAAGGCAGGUGAUAGCAAUGAGGCCAUCGGUGCUCUCAUCCAGAACUACAUCCGAGAGAUUGAGGAGCUGAGGACGAAGCUCCUGGAGAGUGAAUCCAUGAAUGAGUCCUUGCGUCGCAGCCUCUCGCGCCUCUCUGCCCGUCCCCCCUACUCUGUGGGCUCAUCCCCAGCUCCUGGCCUGGCUGGGCUGGGCAGCCCUGCUGCCCCUGUGGAAACCGAGGCCUCUGACGUCCUGCGACGGGCCAAGCAGGACCUGGAGCGGCUGAAAAAGAAAGAGAGGAGGCAGCGGAGGAAAAGCCCAGAGAAGGAAGCAUUUAAGAAGCGGCCAAAGCUGCAGCAGGACAACGGGGAGGAGACGGAUGAGAAUGAAGCAGAAGAGGAGGAGGAGGAGGAAGAACAGGAUGAGAGUGGCUGUGAGGAAGAGGAUGGACGUGAGGAUGAAGAUGAGGACUCAGGCAGUGAAGAAAGCCUGGUGGACUCAGACUCGGAUGCAGAGGAGAAGGCGGUGAAUUUCCAGGCUGACCUUGCAGAUUUGACUUGUGAGAUAGAGAUCAAGCAGAAGCUGAUCGAUGAGCUGGAGAACAGCCAACGGCGCCUGCAGACGCUCAAGCACCAGUAUGAGGAGAAGCUGAUCCUGCUGCAGAACAAGAUCCGGGACACGCAGCUGGAGCGGGACCGGGUCCUGCAGAACCUCAGCACCAUGGAGUGCUACACAGAGGAGAAGGCCAACAAGAUCAAAGCAGACUAUGAAAAACGGCUGAAGGAGAUGAACAGGGACCUGCAGAAGCUGCAGGCUGCCCAGAAGGAACAUGCUCGCCUGCUCAAGAAUCAGUCCCGCUACGAGCGGGAGCUGAGGAAGCUGCAGGCAGAGGUGGCUGAGAUGAAGAAAGCAAAGGUCGCGCUGAUGAAGCAGAUGCGGGAGGAGCAGCAGCGGAGACGACUGGCAGAGACAAAGAGAAACAGGGAGAUAGCACAGCUCAAGAAGGAGCAGCGCCGGCAGGAGUUUCAGAUCCGGGCUCUGGAGUCUCAGAAGCGGCAGCAGGAAAUUGUGCUGCGAAGGAAAACUCAGGAGGUCUCAGCGCUGCGCCGUCUCGCCAAGCCCAUGUCCGACCGAGUUGCAGGCAGGACGAGCCAGAAGCCAGCCAUGCUGGACUCUGGUGCAGAGGUCUCAGCCAGCACCACCUCGUCUGAGCCAGAGUCCGGCGCUCGCUCCGUCUCCAGCAUCGUGCGCCAAUGGAACAGGAAAAUCAAUAACUUCCUGGGAGACCCCUCACCUUCUGUCAAUGGGGCUCGGCCAGUCAGGAAGAAGUUCCCCAAGAAGGGAUCGAGUCAGACCUUCAGUAAAGCUGCCCGCCUCAAGUGGCAGUCGCUGGAGCGGCGCAUCUUCGACAUCGUGAUGCAGAGGAUGACCAUCGUCAACCUGGAGGCUGACAUGGAGAGGCUCAUCAAGAAACGAGAGGAGCUGGCACUGCUGCAGGAGGCCCUGCUGGGCAAGAGGGCGAAACUGCAGGCAGAGAGCCCGAAGGAGCAGAAGGGGCUGCAGGAGCUGAACGAGGAGAUUGAGGUGCUGGGGGCCAACAUUGACUACAUCAAUGACAGCAUCUCUGACUGCCAAGCUACCAUCAUGCAGAUUGAGGAGACCAAGGAGGAGCUGGACUCCACGGACACCUCGGUGGUGAUCAGCUCCUGCUCCCUCGCUGAAGCCCGGCUGCUGCUGGACAACUUCCUGAAGGCAUCCAUCGACAAGGGCCUGCAGGUGGCACAGAAAGAGGCCCAGAUCCGCCUCCUGGAGGGACGGCUGAAGCAGACGGAUGUGACCGGCUCCUCGCAGAACCACCUCAUCCUGGAUGCCCUGCGGGAGAAGGCUGAGUCGCACCCUGAGCUCCAGGCGCUGAUUCACAACGUCCAGCAAGAGAACGGCUACACCAGCACAGAUGAGGAGGUCUCUGAAUUCAGCUUGGCUUCGGAUGGGAGCAUCUCCCAGUCUUUCAGCAUGAAGGGCUCAGCGAGUCAGGAUGAUUUCAAGUUCAAGGGAGAGCCCAAGCUCUCGGGGCAGAUGAAGGCAGUGUCAGCUGAAUGUCUAGGACCCACACUGGACAUCUCCACCAAGAACAUCACCAAGUCCUUGGCAUCGCUCAUGGAGAUCAAAGAGGAUGGGAUCAGCUUCUCAAUCCGAGACCCCUAUUACAAGGAGAAGGUGUCGCGCACCGUCAGCCUGCCCACGCGGGGGAGCACUUUUCCCAGACAAUCUCGUGUCUCAGACACGUCGCCUCUCACAAGGAGGAAAUCCUACGACCGUGGGCAACCUGCUAGGCCUCCAGAUGUCGGCUUCACUCCUCCCUCAUCGCCGCCCACACGCCCUCGCAAUGACCGCAAUGUCUUCUCUCGUCUCACGAGCAACCAGAGCCAGGGGUCUGCCUUGGACAAGUCUGAUGACAGCGAUUCCUCUGUCUCGGAGGUGCUGAGGGGCAUCAUUAAUCCAGUGGGUGGCACCAAGAACGCGCGGACAGCCCCGCUGCAGUGCGUCUCUGUGGCAGAAGGACACACCAAGCCUGUGCUCUGCCUGGAUGCCACCGAUGAACUGCUUUUCACUGGCUCCAAAGACCGGAGCUGUAAGAUGUGGAACUUGGUGACUGGUCAGGAAAUUGCUUCCCUCAAGGGUCACCCAAAUAACGUCGUUUCCAUCAAGUACUGCAGCCAUACGGGGUUGGUGUUCACCGUGUCCACGUCGUACAUCAAAGUGUGGGACAUCCGGGACUCAGCCCGCUGCAUCCGCACCCUCACGUCUUCUGGCCAGGUGAUCUCUGGGGAUGCGUGUGCUGGGACAACCACGCGCACUGUGACCAGUGUGCAGGGGGAGCACCAGAUCAACCAGAUCGCUCUCAACCCCACUGGCACCACCCUCUAUGCUGCCACUGGAAACUCCGUCCGCAUCUGGGAGCUGAGCAGGCUGCAGCCUGUUGGAAAGCUGAGUGGCCACAUUGGGCCCGUGAUGUGUCUCACGGUAAACCAGACUGCAAGCAACCAUGACCUGGUGGUGACAGGCUCCAAAGAUCACUACGUCAAGGUGUUUGAGAUUGCUGAGGGCGUGGUGGGCAAUGUCAGCCCCACUCACAACUUCGAGCCCCCUCACUACGAUGGCAUCGAGUGCCUGGCCAUCCAGGGAGACGUCCUCUUCAGCGGCUCCAGGGACAACGGCAUUAAAAAAUGGGAUCUGGAGCAGCAGGAACUUCUCCAGCAAAUCCCAAAUGCACACAAAGACUGGGUCUGUGCCCUGGCCUUCAUCCCUGGCCGCCCCAUGGUGCUGAGUGCCUGCCGAGGAGGCAUGAUCAAAGUCUGGAAUGUGGACAACUUCACCCCAGUUGGGGAGAUCAAAGGGCACGACAGCCCCAUCAACGCCAUCUGUACCAACUCCAAGCACAUCUUCACUGCCUCCAGUGACUGCCGGGUAAAGUUAUGGAAUUACGUGCCUGGGCUCACCCCUUGCCUUCCACGACGCGUCCUUGCCAUAAAGGGCCGUGCUACUAGUCUGCCUUGACCCUCCUGCUCUUUCUGACUCUCUUGCACAUGCACUCUUCUGUCUUUUAUUUCCUUUUCUCUCUCUCCAUCUCCUCUUCCCUCUGUCUUUCUUGCUGUUGCUUGCUUUUGUUCUUCUCUCUCUCUUUCUCUCUCUCUGGUCUGAGCUGCUUCUUAACGCGACCUGACAGUGAAGCUCUGGAGUGGGAGGAGGUUACCCACCAGCUCCAACUAGGAACUGCAGAACUGCUAGAAGAUGUGGCAGGAGGGUGAAGGCUGUGGUUCACCCCAUCAUCUAUGGGAACUCUGCCCAGGGAUGGGGAUUCUUGUGCCUGACCCGGCAGGGUGGGUGAGAUCCAUCUUGUCCCAUCCUUAAGCACUGACAGAUCCCGUGAAGAGGCAGCUCAACGAAGCACCGUCCGCUCCACUUUGCCUCCUGCUGCAGUUUCUCAGUGGUUUUCCAGUGACCAGGAAAGACUUCAUCUCUUUUCUCACCCACCCUACUGUGCUGCCUGCCAGGUCUGUGAGGGGUUGGAGUUCAGGUGAGCUUCCUGGCUCCUUUUCAGAGACACCCAGCUCCCUCCUGCCUCUGUGGCUUCAUGCAGCCUCUGCCUGGAUUUGCUGCUUUUGUCCCCGCUGUCUCCAGGCUGGUUCCUGCAAGAAUCUUUCUCUGUUCCACAGUCUCAAGGCUAUUUGAAGUCUUCUGGCUGGGACCAGAGGUCAGGUUGUUCUUUUUUCCUUUGGAGACAUUUCCUGUGGGACGUCCUCUGUGCUGCAGUGGAUCUGCAGAAGGACCUUCAUUUAGUUCCAUCCUUCCCUAACCUCAGCAUACCUGGCUGCAGCAGCUGGAGCUGCACAUCUGACCUGGCUCACCUGGAGCUUCCCUGCUGUGCCAUCACACCACUUCCAGCCCAACCCGCUGUGCUUCCCUGCAGCCAUCUCUGAAUUCCGACCGCAAACUCUGCUGACCCUCUCCCCUUCCCUGUGCGCCCACUUUGCUCUGUGGUGGGGUAGGGAAGGGUUUCUCACCCUCAGCUAUGGCUGCAGGUGGGUGAGGAUGGAGAUGGCUGUGCCAGGAGCAGAGCGCAGACAGGUUGGACGCUGGUCCUGCACGAGUCUCCCCAUGGCUGCAUGCCUGAAGGACAAUCCUACAGAGAAUGGUUGUGCACAGCUGGAGCCCUUCAGAAGGCUGAAGGCUCAGCCCAGUGUCAACGAGGAUGCAGCCUCUCCAGCUGCCCUGCUCGCUUUUCUCUGGUCAGGGGGCCGACAAGGCCCUGGUCUCACACUGGAGCUUUCUUCUACCUCUCCUGUGGUCCCUCGGAGCAUCCCCUGCUCCAUCUGCCCUGCCCCACGCUGGGCUCGUUGGGGAACGGCUGUGUUGACCCUGGGAGUGGUGUUCUCACCUUAUGUGCUCUCACUUCAUUUUUGCCACUGAAGAGACAACGUUUGAACUCGGAUUUAAGGAUUUCUCUGUGUGAUCCCAUUGGUGCUGAGCUAGGAUCUCGGAGGAGCUCCAGGAUGUGCCCCGUAAAGCACAGACCAGUUUCCUUCUGCUUUCUGCAGCCCUGUUUUUUUGUCACCAGCCCUUGUUCAAACCACUGCAGGAGGGAAUUUCUGCACACCUUGAAAUAGGAGCAUCUCUACUGACUUGAUGAAAUCUUUCUUCUUUUAUCAUUUGGGGGGGGG